rnacentral:rRNA from 1 species
UACGGAGGGUGCGAGCGUUGUCCGGAAUCAUUGGGCGUAAAGGGCGCGUAGGUGGCCCGGUCAGUCUUUGGUGAAAGCGCGGGGCUCAACCCUGCGUCGGCCAGGGAUACUGCCGCGGCUGGAGCACUGUAGAGGCAGGCGGAAUUCCGGGUGUAGCGGUGGAAUGCGUAGAGAUCCGGAAGAACACCGGUGGCGAAGGCGGCCUGCUGGGCAGUUGCUGACGCUGAGGAGCGAAAGCGUGGGGAGCGAACAGG